rnacentral:rRNA from 1 species
UACGGGGGGUGCGAGCGUUGUCCGGAAUCACUGGGCGUAAAGGACGCGUAGGUGGUUUGAUAAGGGUGUGGUGAAAGCCCGGGGCUCAACCCCGGGUCUGCCGUGCCGACUGUUAAACUCGAGGGCUGUAGAGGCAGACGGAAUUCCGGGUGUAGCGGUGGAAUGCGUAGAGAUCCGGAGGAAGACCGGUGGCGAAGGCGGUCUGCUGGGCAGUUUCUGACACUGAUGCGCGACAGCGUGGGGAGCAAACAGG